rnacentral:rRNA from 1 species
UACAGAGGCCUCGAGCGUUAGGCGGAAUCACUGGGCUUAAAGCGUACGUAGGCGGCUUUGUAAGUUAGAGGUGAAAGCCUGGUGCUCAACACCAGAACUGCCUUUAAGACUGCAUCGCUUGAAUCGCGGAGAGGUGAGUGGAAUUCCGAGUGUAGAGGUGAAAUUCGUAGAUAUUCGGAAGAACACCAGUGGCGAAGGCGGCUCACUGGACGCGUAUUGACGCUGAGGUACGAAAGCGUGGGGAGCAAACAGG